UACGCUGCAGAACUCUUCCCAGUUCGGGCUGCAAAACUCGAGAAGGGACUGGGUCACAAUUUUAUAAUUCACAAAUAAUGCACAAUAAAAAGAUUUUAGGGCAGCUUGGCAGAAGUCACCGUUUAGGAAAAGAAGGAAUAGGAAGGCCUGGAAUGCUCUUAACUAGGUUACUUCUGGGGAGGUAAGUGAAAUUAGAACAGCAAUAAAGCAACAACUCCGGAUCACCAAACUGUACUUGAGGACCCAAUCGCUAUAGGUCCGACGUCUUGACAACCAAUCCUUUCUUCUCAUGGACAAAAACCACUUGAUUAACAAGCCCCAGCUCCAGUUUUUGAGUGUCUCGAAACUCCUUAUAGCCUCAGGUUCAAGCCCCAGUAAACCUCAGAGAAUGAGCUUUCUAAGGAGGGAAGGAAUUGAGGACCCUCACAACUGACCACCGAGGACGUGCAGCUAACAAGCGUGACUAUGAAAUCCAGCACACACAGCGCCAGGAAAGCAGGGUGCUCGGUUGCAGGGGAUAUUGAAGUAUAAGGAGUGGAUUUUGCCUCUAAAAGAUUUACAACCUACUGGGAACAGAAGAAAAAUACACGUGAAACAAGUAAAAUACUUCAAGGGAACUAGCUUGGCUGUAACAUAGACAGAAUCAUUUUUAUUUCUGCCACUUGGGAUUUUUGCCGUCCUUGGAAGAGGCCUUUGGCAUGAGAACAGUGAGAGGAAGGAUCUACCAGAACUCAAAACCCUGGUUUCUGAUUCUGGAGUUCCAGUUCUUUCUAUGAUGGUUUUCAAACCAGUGAGGACUUCUGAGAACAGCAAAGGGCUUCUUCACCAUCAUCAUGGGACCUUAUCAGUAACUAACAUAUCACCAGGAGAUUAUAUCACAAUGUCUAUUUGCAGAACACUUUACGGUUUACACAUUUCACAUAUAUUAUUUCAGCACUCUGGCGAUUGCUGUGCAAAUCUGGCUGCCUAGAGAAG